rnacentral:rRNA from 1 species
AGCGUGAUGCGGACCGAACAAAAGUAGGGAAGCUGGUAAUUCGAACUGUCAAGAAAAGCCGCUAUUGUGUGAUAUGUGCCCGUACCGUAAACCGACACAGGUGGAUGAGGAGAGAAUCCUAAGGCCGGCGGGAGAAGCAUUGUUAAGGAACUCGGCAAAAUGACCCUGUAACUUCGGGAUAAAGGGUGCCUGCGCAAGCAGGCCGCAGAGAAUAGGCUCAAGCAACUGUUUAGCAAAAACACAGGUCUAUGCAAAACCGAAAGGUGAGGUAUAUGGGCUGACGCCUGCCCGGUGCUGGAAGGUUAAGAGGAGAGGUUAGAGCAAUCGAAGCUUUGAAUUUAAGCCCCAGUAAACGGCGGCCGUAACUAUAACGGUCCUAAGGUAGCGAAAUUCCUUGUCGGGUAAGUUCCGACCCGCACGAAAGGCGUAAUGAUUUGAGCGCUGUCUCGACAAUGCACCCGGUGAAAUUGAAGUACCAGUGAAGAUGCUGGUUACCUGCGCCAGGACGGAAAGACCCCAUGGAGCUUUACUCCAGCUUGAUACUGGGAUUCGGUUAUACAUGUACAGGAUAGGUGGGAGGCUAAGAAGUGAGGACGCCAGUCUUCACGGAGCCGCUGUUGGGAUACCACCCUUGUGUGACUGGGUUUCUAACCUGCAGCCGUGACCCGGCUGGGGGACAAUGUCAGGUGGGGAGUUUGACUGGGGCGGUCGCCUCCGAAAGGGUAUCGGAGGCGCUCAAAGGUUCCCUCAGAAUGGUUGGAAACCAUUUGCAGAGUGCAAAGGCAUAAGGGAGCUUGACUGCGAGACCGACGGGUCGAGCAGGUAGGAAACUAGGACUUAGUGAUCCGGUGGUAUAAAGUGGGAUUGCCAUCGCUCAACGGAUAAAAGCUACCCUGGGGAUAACAGGCUUAUCACUCCCAAGAGUUCACAUCGACGGAGUGGUUUGGCACCUCGAUGUCGGCUCAUCGCAUCCUGGGGCUGAAGUAGGUCCCAAGGGUUGGGCUGUUCGCCCAUUAAAGCGGUACGCGAGCUGGGUUCAGAACGUCGUGAGACAGUUCGGUCCCUAUCCGGCGUGGGCGUAGGAUAUUUGAGAGGAGCUGUCCUUAGUACGAGAGGACCGGGAUGGACUGACCUCUGGUGCAUCGGUUG